rnacentral:rRNA from 1 species
UAACUUCUGGAAACGGAUGCUAAAACCGGAUAGGUAGCAGACAAGCAUUUGACUGCUAUUAAAGUGGCUAAGGCCAUGAACAUGGAUGGACCUGCGGUGCAUUAGCUAGUUGGUGAGGUAACGGCCCACCAAGGCGACGAUGCAUAGCCGGCCUGAGAGGGCGGACGGCCACAUUGGGACUGAGACACGGCCCAAACUCCUACGGGAGGCAGCAGUAGGGAAUUUUCGUCAAUGGGGGGAACCCUGAACGAGCAAUGCCGCGUGAGUGAGGAAGGUCUUCGGAUCGUAAAGCUCUGUUGUAAGAGAAAAACGGCACUCAUAGGGAAUGAUGAGUGAGUGAUGGUAUCUUACCAGAAAGUCACGGCUAACUACGUGCCAGCAGCCGCGGUAAUACGUAGGUGGCGAGCGUUAUCCGGAAUGAUUGGGCGUAAAGGGUGCGUAGGUGGCAGAUCAAGUCUGGAGUAAAAGGUAUGGGCUCAACCCGUACUGCUCUGGAAACUGAUCAGCUAGAGAACAGAAGAGGACGGCGGAACUCCAUGUGUAGCGGUAAAAUGCGUAGAUAUAUGGAAGAACACCGGUGGCGAAGGCGGCCGUCUGGUCUGGAUUCUGACACUGAAGCACGAAAGCGUGGGGAGCAAAUAGGAUUAGAUACCCUAGUAGUCCACGCCGU